GUCUGUGGCGCAAUGGGUGUGUCUGGCUGUUCACCAGAAGUUUGGUGGUUCGAGGCCACCCAGGGAUG